CCUACGGGAGGCAGCAGUCGAGAAUCAUUCACAAUGGAGGAAACUCUGAUGGUGCGACGCCGCGUGGGGGAAUGAAGGUCUUCGGAUUGUAAACCCCUGUUAUGUGGGAGCAAAUUAAAAUGAUCGUACCACAAGAGGAAGAGACGGCUAACUCUGUGCCAGCAGCCGCGGUAAUACAGAGGUGUCAAGCGUUAUUCGGAAUCACUGGGCGGAAAGGGUGGGUAGGCGUUUUCGUAAGUGGGGGGUGAAAGGCGCGGGCUCAACCCCCGGACGGCACAUGAUACUGCGAGACUAGAGAAUAGGUGGGGGAACCGGAAUGCUCGGUGUAGCAGUGAAAUGCGUAGAUAUC
rnacentral:rRNA from 1 species